rnacentral:rRNA from 1 species
GACAGAGGUGCCGAGCGUUAGGCGGAAUCACUGGGCUUAAAGCGUGUGUAGGCGGAUCCGUAAGUACCUUGUGAAAUCCCACGGCUCAACCGUGGAACUGCUUGGUAUACUGCGGGUCUUGAGCCACCUAGGGGCGAGCGGAACAAGUGGUGGAGCGGUGAAAUGCGUAGAUAUCACGUGGAACGCCAAUGGUGAAAACAGCUCGCUGGGGGUGUGCUGACGCUGAGACACGAAAGCCAGGGGAGCAAACGGG